rnacentral:rRNA from 1 species
AGCGGAUCUCUUAAAGCCGUUCUCAGUUCGGACUNUAGGCUGCAACUCGCCUACACGAAGCUGGAAUCGCUAGUAAUCGCGGAUCAGCACGCCGCGGUGAAUACGUUCCCGGGCCUUGUACACACCGCCCGUCACACCCUGAGAGUUGGGAAUACCCGAAGCCUGUGAGCUAACUAAUAGAGGCAGCAGUCGAAGGUAGAAUCAAUGAUUGGGGUGAAGUCGUAACAAGGUACC